rnacentral:misc_RNA from 1 species
GUCCAACGCCCUGAACGCCUAUCGCCGGAGGACGAAACUGUGAGUAUGUUAGUUGACAGUCAGCGGAACCGGUUAUUGGUGGGGGAGAGCAUCAAGGAGGCGCAAGAGAGGGCCGAGAGGAAGGACUUAGAGGGGGCGAAGGCGGUGCUGACAAACUGCAGGACGGCCCUCCUUGCAUCGGCAUCAGCGCAGGCCGGUGACGGGCUUU